CCUACGGGCGGCAGCAGUGGGGGAUAUUGCACAAUGGGGGAAACCCUGAUGCAGCGACGCCGCGUGUGGGAAGACGGUCCUCUGGAUUGUAAACCACUGUCCCCAGGGACGAAGAUGACGGUACCUGGGGAGGAAGCUCCGGCUAACUACGUGCCAGCAGCCGCGGUAAUACGUAGGGAGCGAGCGUUGUCCGGAAUUACUGGGUGUAAAGGGAGCGUAGGCGGGGAUGCAAGUUGGGUGUCAAAACUACCGGCUCAACUGGGAGGCGCACGCAAAACUGCAGCUCUUGAGUGAAGUAGAGGCAGGCGGAAUUCCUAGUGUAACGGGGAAAUGGGUAGAUAUUAGG
rnacentral:rRNA from 1 species